AUGAAAAACUGGCUUGAAUCAUAUCAAGCCAGCUUUUAGAAAGUUUUAGGGGAAGAAUUGAAAAUAAAUAAGACUAUUUGGGUACAAUAUAUGCAUUUGUCAAUCUCUUUUUAAUGAGGCAUAAGUAGAACAGAUGAGGACCGUACAAAAGUGACCAACAUAUAACAAAAUAAGGACGCAUCAUAUAUAUGCGAUACCGAGG